rnacentral:ncRNA from 1 species
GGAACCCGGUGUCAAUCCGGGGCGGUCGCGCCACUGUGACUGUCUACCAAUCAUGGGACAGAAGCCAGAAC